rnacentral:rRNA from 1 species
CGUAGGGUGCGAGCGUUGUCCGGAAUUAUUGGGCGUAAAGAGCUCGUAGGCGGUUUGUUGCGUCGGCCGUGAAAACCUGCAGCUUAACUGUGGGCCUGCGGUCGAUACGGGCAGACUUGAGUUCGGUAGGGGAGACUGGAAUUCCUGGUGUAGCGGUGAAAUGCGCAGAUAUCAGGAGGAACACCGGUGGCGAAGGCGGGUCUCUGGGCCGAUACUGACGCUGAGGAGCGAAAGCGUGGGGAGCGAACAGGAUUAGAUACCCUGGUAGUCCACGCCGUAAACGGUGGGCGCUAGGUGUGGGGAACCUCCACGUUCUCCGUGCCGUAGCUAACGCAUUAAGCGCCCCGCCUGGGGAGUACGGCCGCAAGGCUA